UUUCACCUCACACAACCAAUGGUUUUUAAAAGCUGUAAUGGCGCCAAGUGGUUAUUGUGGUAUUGAGUGUACUCCCACUUGUUAAACGAGAGGGUCACUUGAAAUGCUUGGUAACUUACAUGAGUCCAAGAAUGCUUCAUAUGUCUUGAAAAGCUCAAAGUACCGCUAAGUUUAAGCCUUUACUGGUCACUCUUUAGCUGGGAAAUUUUCGAGAUGAAGUACUCGACAGACUUACUACCAAACUUGAUAUCGAUUAGCAGUCGUAGUACUGUCUGACCGAAAUAUCUGAAC
rnacentral:misc_RNA from 1 species